rnacentral:rRNA from 1 species
UUGAAAGGGAAACGAUUGAAGUCAGUCGUACCGACGGAGGAUCAACCUUUGAAAGCGGGUCGAGGUAUUCGAGGAGUUUAAAAGCCCUCUUGCGCUCACGUACUUCGUUUUCUUUGGUGCACUUCUUCGUAUGGUAGGUUAACAUCAAUUUUGGAUGUUACAAAAUGAUCGGGGGAAUGUAGCUUCGAUUUUUUCGAAGUGUUAUAGACCUUGGUAGAUGUGGCGACCGGGAUUGAGGAUUGCAACGAAUGCUUUCGGGCUAUCCGUCUGACCUCUGGUGGUUGCUUUAGGGUCGAAAGCGUGCUUACGACUUUAAAGUUGGCUAUCAAAAGGCUAGAACGUGAUUAAAUUCGUUAAGGAUGUUGACGUA